rnacentral:rRNA from 1 species
AGGGUUUGAUCAUGGCUCAGAACGUACGCUGGCGGCACGCCUUAUACAUGCAAGUCGAACGAAGUAGCAAUACUUAGUGGCAGACGGGUGAGUAACAUGUGGGUAUCUUCCCUUUGGUGAGGAAUAACACGAGGAAACUUGUGCUAAUACCUCAUAAGUCUUUACGGAGAAAGCUUUAUGCGCCAAUGGAUGAGCCCGCACUUGAUUAGUUUGUUGGUGGGGUAAUAGCCUACCAAGACUUUGAUCAAUAGCUGAUUUGAGAGGAUGAUCAGCCACAUUGGGACUGAGACACGGCCCAAACUCCUACGGGAGGCAGCAGUAGGGAAUCUUGCACAAUGGAGGAAACUCUGAUGCAGCGAUGCCGCGUGAGUGAAGAAGGCCUUUGGGUUGUAAAGCUCUUUCGUCGGGGAAGAAAAUGACUGUACCCGAAUAAGAAGGUCCGGCUAACUUCGUGCCAGCAGCCGCGGUAAUACGAAGGGACCUAGCGUAGUUCGGAAUUACUGGGCUUAAAGAGUUCGUAGGUGGUUAAAAAAGUUGGUGGUGAAAUCCCAGAGCUUAACUCUGGAACUGCCAUCAAAACUUUUUAGCUAGAGUAUGAUAGAGGAAAGCAGAAUUUCUAGUGUAGAGGUGAAAUUCGUAGAUAUUAGAAAGA